GCGGGCGUAGCUCAGUCUGGUAGAGCAUCGGCCUUCCAAGCCGAUCGCCGCGGGUUCGAGUCCCGUCGCCCGCU
rnacentral:tRNA from 1 species